rnacentral:rRNA from 1 species
GACAGAGGGUGCGAACGUUGUUCGGAAUUACUGGGCGUAAAGCGCGUGUAGGCGGCAGCGCAAGUCGGGCGUGAAAUCCCACGGCUCAACCGUGGAAGUGCACUCGAAACUGCGCAGCUAGAGUCCUGGAGAGGAAGGUGGAAUGCUUGGUGUAGAGGUGAAAUUCGUAGAUAUCAAGCGGAACACCGGUGGCGAAGGCGACCUUCUGGACAGUGACUGACGCUGAGACGCGAAAGCGUGGGAGCAACAGGAUUAAGAUACCCCGG